UACAGAGGGUGCGAGCGUUGUUCGGAAUUAUUGGGCGUAAAGGGCGCGUAGGCGGUGCGGUAAGUCACCUGUGAAAUCUCCUGGCUCAACUGGGAGCUUGCAGGCGAAACUGCCGUGCUGGAGUGUGGGAGAGGUGCGUGGAAUUCCCGGUGUAGCGGUGAAAUGCGUAGAUAUCGGAAGGAACACCUGUGGCGAAAGCGGCUCACUGGACCAUUACUGACGCUGAGGCACGAAAGCUAGGGGAGCAAACAGG
rnacentral:rRNA from 1 species